ensembl:lncRNA
CAUUUAAGGGCUGUCUACUACAAGGGAUGGUUUUCUACCUGGAGAUCCCUUCUACUAGAGUCUUUUGCGAACCCUGAUCUAUAGAACAGGGACAGUGACACCACCACAGGCAGCCAAAGGCAGCAGAGAUGUGCCAAAGGACAACACUGACAUUUUCUGGGGCUGUUUCAUCCAGUUGUCCCAAACAAGAGCUAAUCUCACAAUGCCAAAACAUCAGUUUCCAUCCACCCAUCAUUUCCAUAAAUUACCUUGCUCAGUGGACUCUUGAUCAAGUGAUGUUGAGAUGGAGAUGUGACAGCCAUAAAAAGUGUAAAUAACAAGGGUAGUUUUUGUAGAAGUUUAAAUCUGGACUACAAGUUUUUAACUUUUUCCUCUUGAGAUACAGUAAGGAGAUGGAUCAAUCCAGACCAACUCAUUUUCAGCAUGAACUGAUAUAACUCGCAAUGACAUCUGUGGGAGCAGAAGAGCACAAGCCAUUUUGAGCUCAGUCAGAAGAAAAUAAUGUAUGUUGCUCUUUUGUUUCCAUGCAUUGAUUCAUACCACCUUUUUUGUUUUGUUUUUCUUCUUAGUUAGUUCUCUGUAUUUUAGAAAAAAUAUGUAUAAGCAGUAAUUGUACCAGAAGAGUUUUUUUGCUUGUACCCAUAGGUGGAAAUUCUUAAGGCAGUAGAUUCUAAUGGCAGCACCUAUUAAUUUUUGAAAACUCGGUUGUUUAUAUGGCCACUGCAAACUACAGUGCAAGAGUGAAAAAUAUGCCAAACAAUUUCUAACUUACAAAAACUGUGAUUAAACUCAGUUAGGAUUCAAUACACUCCGCAGAGGUUAAUUAAAUUUUUAUAGAUUUAUUCUUCAUUCAGUGCUUUAAAAGGUUGUUCUGUUUAGUUAUCAUUGCCAAGUUGAUGAUGGGGGAAAUUAAAAGCCCCUGAUCUACAUCAGUCUUCUGUGUUGCCAGACACUGAAAUAAUUUGCAGGAUAUCAGUAUGGCAUGAAAUGGGUAAAGAAGAGAGAACUACAGCUGAAUGAUAUUUAGGUGAGUUGUGGGCUAUCAAGAAUUUUAGACAAGCACAACAGAGAUAUUGAGACUUUCUCUCAAUGGGAUUAAGCUACUGAGGAAUGAAUGCUUUUCAGCUCAAACUGGAUAGCCAAGGAUGUGACUAGGUCAAUUCCAUGAAGAUAAUACAGUUUAAAAGAGUAGUAAAGAGCAGAGUUGAGUUCUGGAAUGGCUAUGAUCUCCUAAGAUAAUUGCAGCAGCAAUAUGGAGAUCUCCAACAUAUCAUCUAGAAUACCUGAGUAGGGAUGGGUGUUUUCUCAAGGUGGUGUCAGAUAGGUAGCAAAGCAGUCAACAUCCCAGGAGGGUUACAAUUGAUGUAUCAUAUACAUAGCAGGUGGUUGUGAUAAAUAGAAAAGAAUGCUGUGAGAUUAAGACAAUAUACAAUAUAAAGGCUACCUUGAAUGUGAAAGCUUCAGUUUCUACUUUAUCUGCACUGUAAGACUGGCAUGCAGGAAAGCUGAAAACGUACUUAAGUUCAUCUCUCUUAAGCAAAGCACCAUGGUGUGUGUUUAAUUGCUGGUUUGUGGUGAAAUGUUCAGCUAAAUGUGGGUUGACUGCUGAAUGUGAGCCUGAAGAUCUUGUUGAAAUACUGGCUAAAGGAGAUCCAGUUAACAUUAUUUAUUAAAAAGCUUUAACUGUGUUCCUUACAAGAAGCUCCUUAGGAAGCUGAUCUGUCAUAGGGUAAAGUUCUUCCUGGGGGUAAAAACUGGUAGAAAGAUUAAAAAAGAAGGGUCAGACAUGAUAGUGACACUUCAUUAUGGAAGGACAAUUGUCACAGGUAUCUACAACAGGCAUGAAAUUUUGUUGCUUAUGGGGAUGCAAGCUCUGUACACUGAGCAGUCUGAAAAGUAAAUGAGAACAGUUAUUUUCUAAAAUUUAUUGUAAAUUAUAUUAUACUUUUUCUGUUUUAAGCAGAUCUAGAAAAUGAUUAUCCCAGAUAUUCCAGUCAG